GAUGAACGCUAGCGUGGCGCCUAACACAUGCAAGUCGAACGAAUUUAUAUUCGUGGCAAACGGGUGAGUAACACGUGCUUAAUCUGCCCUGAAGUGGGGGAUACCUGUCGAAAGGCAACUAAUCCCCCAUACCUUCCGGUGAAUGAGAAACAACCGGAAGAAAGGUUUACCGCUUCAGGAGGAGGGCGCGGACUAUUAGCUAGUUGGUAAGGUAAUGGCUUACCAAGGCUAUGAUGGAUAGCUGGUCUGAGAGGAUGAUCAGCCACAAUGGAACUGAGACACGGUCCAUACCCCUACGGGGGGCAGCAGUGGGGAAUCUUGCACAAUGGACGAAAGUCUGAUGCAGCGACCACGCGUGGAGGAUGAAGCAUUACGGUGUGUAAACUCCUUUUCUGGAGGAAGACGACUGACGGUACUCCAGGAAUAAGGGACGGCUAACUACG
rnacentral:rRNA from 1 species